UACGUAGGGGGCAAGCGUUGUCCGGAAUCAUUGGGCGUAAAGCGCGUGUAGGCGGCUCGGUAAGUCCGCUCUGAAAGUCCAGGGCUCAACCCUGGGAUGCGGGUGGAUACUGCCGGGCUCGAGUCCGGAAGAGGCGAGUGGAAUUCCCGGUGUAGCGGUGAAAUGCGCAGAUAUCGGGAGGAACACCAAUGGCGAAGGCAGCUCGCUGGGACGUGACUGACGCUGAGACGCGGAAAGC
rnacentral:rRNA from 1 species